rnacentral:rRNA from 1 species
GUAGGCGGCAAGCGUUGUCCGGAAUUAUUGGGCGUAAAGCGCGCGCAGGCGGUUCUUUAAGUCUGAUGUGAAAGCCCACGGCUCAACCGUGGAGGGUCAUUGGAAACUGGAGAACUUGAGUACAGAAGAGGAAAGCGGAAUUCCACGUGUAGCGGUGAAAUGCGUAGAGAUGUGGAGGAACACCAGUGGCGAAGGCGGCUUUCUGGUCUGUAACUGACGCUGAGGCGCGAAAGCGUGGGGAGCAAACAGGGAUUAGAUACCCUGGUAGUCCACGCCGUAAACGAUGAGUGCUAAGUGUUAGGGGGUUUCCGCCCCCUUAGUGCUGCAGCUAACGCAUUAAGCACUCCGCCUGGGGAGUACGGCCGCAAGGCUG